AAACGGCCACGGUACUCUGACCGUGCAAAGGUAGCAUAAUCAUUUGCCUUAUAAUUGAAGGCUGGAAUGAAUGGUUUGACAAGAAUACACCUGUCUCUUUAGAUUAUUUAGAAUUUAUCUUUGGGUGAAAAAGCCCAGAUUGUAUUAAAAGACAAGAAGACCCUAUCGAGCUUCAGAAAAAUUAAUAGAGAUUAUGCUUAAUAUUGGUUAAAAAGAAAGCUAUUAAAUACUUUGGUUGGGGCAACCGAGGAGUAAACAAAGCCUCCUUUGAAUAAGAAGUCUUACUUGUGAGGAUCCAAGAAUUUUGAUCAAAGAAAUUAGUUACCGUAGGGAUAACAGCAUUAUCUUUUUUGAGAGCCCAUAUCGAAAAAAAGGUUUGUGACCUCGAUGUUGGACCAGAAUAUCCUAAAGAUGUA
rnacentral:rRNA from 1 species